GAUGAACGCUGCGGCGUGCCUAAUACAUGCAAGUAGAACGCUGAGCUUGGUGCUUGCACCGAGCGGAUGAGUUGCGAACGGGUGAGUAACGCGUAGGUACCUGCCUGGUAGCGGGGAUAACUAUUGGAAACGAUAGCUAAUACCGCAUGCAACAGUUAUGCAUGAUACUGUUUAAAAGGGGCAAUUGCUCCACUACCAGAUGGACCUGCGUUGUAUUAGCUAGUUGGUGAGGUAACGGCUCACCAAGGCGCGAUACAUAGCCGACCUGAGAGGGUGAUCGGCCACACUGGGACUGAGACACGGCCCAGACUCCUACGGGAGGCAGCAGUAGGGAAUCUUCGGCAAUGGACGGAAGUCUGCCGAGCAACGCCGCGUGAGUGAAGAAGGUUUUCGGAUCGUAAAGCUCUGUUGUAAGAGAAGAACGAGUGUGAGAGUGGAAAGUUCACACUGUGACGGUAUCUUACCAGAAA
rnacentral:rRNA from 1 species